rnacentral:rRNA from 1 species
AUACGGAGGGUGCAAGCGUUAUUCGGAAUCACUGGGCGUAAAGGACGCGUAGGCGGGUUGGCAAGUCAGAUGUGAAAUCCUACAGCUUAACUGUAGAACUGCAUUUGAAACUGCUAACCUAGAGUAUGUGAGGGGGAGAUGGAAUUAGUGGUGUAGGGGUAAAAUCCGUAGAUAUCACUAGGAAUACCGAAAGCGAAGGCGAUCUCCUGGAACAUAACUGACGCUAAGGCGUGAAAGCGUGGGGAGCAAACAGCAUUAGAAACCCUAGUAGUCC